UUUGAAGCCUCUCUUCAUAGGCGUGGACUUUUCAGAGGGCUUAAGAUGGGCCCACCUCUGGAGUGUGCUACUCCUUCAGCGGGAUCCGUUUCCUGAAAUUUCCACGGCCUCACUGAACAGCACCGCCAUUUGAAGGAUUGUAGUAGAAAUUGCCUCUAAGUCGCUGCUCAAUCCUGAAC